AUUGAACGCUGGCGGCAGGCCUAACACAUGCAAGUCGAACGAGUGGCGGACGGGUGAGUAAUGUCUGGGAAACUGCCUGAUGUAGGGGUAUAACUACUGGAAACGGUAGCUAAUACCGCCUACCAUCGGAUGUGCCCAGAUGGGCUUAGCUAGUAGUUGGGGUAAAGGCUCACCUCGGCGACGAUCCCUAGCUGGUCUGAGAGGAUGAUCAGCAAAACUGGAACUGAGACACGGUCCAGACUCCUACGGGAGGCAGCAGUGGGGAAUAGUGCACAAUGGGCGCAAGCCUGAUGCAGCCAUGCCGCGUGUAUGAAGAAGGCCUUCGGGUUGUAAAGUACUUUCAGCGGGGAGGCGUUACCCGCAGAAGAAGCACCGGCUAACUCCGUGCCAGCCGCCGCGGUAAUUC
rnacentral:rRNA from 1 species